rnacentral:lncRNA from 10 species
CUGGCAGAAAGUGCACCUGGUUUCAUCUCUUGCUGCCCAGGUCUGGCCUGUGGGCUCUGUGAGCACUUCUUCCCUUCGCCUCUCCAGCCCUAGUUCUUCAGACGACGGUCCCUGAGUUACUGAAGCCACUUCACCUGUUUGGGCAGACAGCUGGGAGUGCCCAGAGCUGACACCCUCCAGGUGACCCACAGGUAACGGCUGACCCACGCUGGAGUGUAGGAGCCUUGCUUCAAGACCACACAGACUUUGAGGUGAUGUUUUUCCUUUUUUUCUUUUUGGUGAUUUCUUAUUUUGGUAAUAUAUACAUAACAUUAAAGUUACCAUUUUAUUUUUGUCCCAACUACAAACUUAUAUUUUAAAUAUUUUUAAGUGCACACUUUAGGGGCAUUAAGUACAUUGACAUUGUCCUACAACCAUCACCUCCAUCCAUCUCCAGAACUUUUUCAUCUUGCCAAACAAACAUUCAGCCCCAUUCAACACUAACUCUUGUUCCCCUUCCCUUUCCUCAGCCCCUGGCACUCACCAUUCUGCUUUUUUUUUUUUUUUUUUUUUUUUUUCUGAGACAGAGUUUCACUCUUGUUGCCCACGCUGGAGUACAAUGGCGCCGUCUCCGCUCACUGUAACCUCUGCCUCCCAGGUUCAAGCCUUUCUCCUGCCUCAGCCUCCUGGGUAGCUGGGAUUACAGGCAACCAC